rnacentral:rRNA from 1 species
CCUACGGGGGGCAGCAGUGAGGAAUAUUGGUCAAUGGACGCAAGUCUGAACCAGCCAUGCCGCGUGCAGGAAGAAGGCUCUAUGAGUUGUAAACUGCUUUUGUACGAGGGUAAACGCAGAUACGCGUAUCUGUCUGAAAGUAUCGUACGAAUAAGGAUCGGCUAACUCCGUGCCAGCAGCCGCGGUAAUACGGAGGAUUCAAGCGUUAUCCGGAUUUAUUGGGUUUAAAGGGUGCGUAGGCGGUCGGAUAAGUUAGAGGUGAAAUCCCGAGGCUCAACUUCGGAAUUGCCUCUGAUACUGUUCGGCUAGAGAGUAGUUGCGGUAGGCGGAAUGUAUGGUGUAGCGGGGAAAUGCUUAGAGAUCAUACAGAACACCGAUUGCGAAGGCAGCUGACCAAGCUACUUCUGACGUUGAGGCACGAAAGCGUGGGGAGCAAACAGGAUUAGAUACCCGAGUAGUC